AACGAACGCUGGCGGCGUGCCUAACACAUGCAAGUCGUAUGUGAAAGUCUUUCGGGAUGAGUAAAGUGGCGCACGGGUGAGUAACACGUAGGUGACCUGCCUUUUAGAGGGGAAUAACCAGAAGAAAGUUUGGCUAAUGCCGCAUACGAAGCACAAAACUUAGAGUAGUGCUUAAAAGAAUGCCUCUGCAUCUGCAUUCACUUAAAGAUGGGCCUGCGGAACAUUAGCUAGUUGGUGGGGUAAAGGCCUACCAAGGCAACGAUGUUUAUCCGGUCUGAGAGGAUGAUCGGACACACUGGAACUGAGACACGGUCCAGACUCCUACGGGAGGCAGCAGUGGGGAAUAUUGCGCAAUGGGGGAAACCCUGACGCAGCAACGCCGCGUGAGUGAGGAAGGUCUUCGGAUUGUAAAGCUCUGUCACUGUAGAAAAAUGUCUGUUGGUCUAAUAGGCCAGCAGAGUGAUGGUAUACAGAGAGGAAGCACCGGCUAACUUCGUGCCAGCCGCCGCAGUAA
rnacentral:rRNA from 1 species